rnacentral:rRNA from 1 species
UACAGAGGGGGCAAGCGUUGUUCGGAAUUACUGGGCGUAAAGGGCGUGUAGGCGGCCAACUAAGUCCGACGUGAAAUCCCCAGGCUUAACCUGGGAACUGCGUCGGAUACUGGAUGGCUUGAAUCCGGGAGAGGGAUGCAGAAUUCCAGGUGUAGCGGUGAAAUGCGUAGAUAUCUGGAGGAACACCGGUGGCGAAGGCGGCAUCCUGGACCGGCAUUGACGCUGAGGCGCGAAAGCCAGGGGAGCAAACGGG